AUUGAACGCUGGCGGCAUGCUUUACACAUGCAAGUCGAACGGUAACAGGCCUUCGGGUGCUGACGAGUGGCGAACGGGUGAGUAAUACAUCGGAACGUACCCAGAGGUGGGGGAUAACGCAGCGAAAGCUGUGCUAAUACCGCAUGUGAUCUGAGGAUGAAAGCGGGGGACCGAGCAGCAAUGUUUGGCCUCGCGCCUUUGGAGCGGCCGAUCUCGGAUUAGCUAGUUGGUGGGGUAAAGGCCUACCAAGGCGACGAUCCGUAGCUGGUCUGAGAGGACGACCAGCCACACUGGGACUGAGACACGGCCCAGACUCCUACGGGAGGCAGCAGUGGGGAAUUUUGGACAAUGGGCGCAAACCUGAUCCAGCAAUGCCGCGUGCGGGAAGAAGGCCUUCGGGUUGUAAACCGCUUUUGGCAGGAACGAAACGGUGUCCGCUAAUACCGGGCGCUAAUGACGGUACCUGCAGAAUAAGCACCGGCUAACUACGUG
rnacentral:rRNA from 1 species